GAUGAACGCUGGCGGCGUGCUUAACACAUGCAAGUCGAGCGAGAAGUUUUGAAAAGAUUCUUCGGAUGAAAUUUAAAAUGGAAAGCGGCGGACGGGUGAGUAACGCGUAGGCAACCUGCCCCAUACAAAGGGAUAGCAUUUGGAAACGAAUAUUAAUACCUUAUGAAACUUAACUAGUGCAUGCUAGGUAGGUCAAAGAUUUAUCGGUAUGGGAUGGGCCUGCGUCUGAUUAGCUAGUUGGUGAGGUAACGGCUCACCAAGGCGACGAUCAGUAGCCGACCUGAGAGGGUGAACGGCCACAUUGGAACUGAGACACGGUCCAAACUCCUACGGGAGGCAGCAGUGGGGAAUAUUGCACAAUGGGGGAAACCCUGAUGCAGCAACGCCGCGUGAACGAUGAAGGCCUUUGGGUCGCAAAGUUCUGUUCUAGGUGAUGAAAACUGACAGUAACCUAGGAGAAAGCCCCGGCUAACUCCGUG
rnacentral:rRNA from 1 species